rnacentral:rRNA from 1 species
GUUGGGUAGGGGAGCGUUCUGUAAGCCUGUGAAGGUGGCCUGUGAGGGUUGCUGGAGGUAUCAGAAGUGCGAAUGCUGACAUAAGUAACGAUAAAGCGGGUGAAAAGCCCGCUCGCCGGAAGACCAAGGGUUCCUGUCCAACGUUAAUCGGGGCAGGGUGAGUCGACCCCUAAGGCGAGGCCGAAAGGCGUAGUCGAUGGGAAACGGGUUAAUAUUCCCGUACUUGGUGUUACUGCGAAGGGGGGACGGAGAAGGCUAUGUUGGCCGGGCGACGGUUGUCCCGGUUUAAGCGUGUAGGUGUGUGUUCCAGGUAAAUCCGGUUCACUUUAACACUGAGGCGUGACGACGAGGCACUACGGUGCUGAAGCAACAAAUGCCCUGCUUCCAGGAAAAGCCUCUAAGCAUCAGGUAACAUCAAAUCGUACCCCAAACCGACACAGGUGGUCAGGUAGAGAAUACCAAGGCGCUUGAGAGAACUCGGGUGAAGGAACUAGGCAAAAUGGUGCCGUAACUUCGGGAGAAGGCACGCUGACACGUAGGUGAAGUGAUUUACUCAUGGAGCUGAAGUCAGUCGAAGAUACCAGCUGGCUGCAACUGUUUAUUAAAAACACAGCACUGUGCAAACACGAAAGUGGACGUAUACGGUGUGACGCCUGCCCGGUGCCGGAAGGUUAAUUGAUGGGGUCAGCGCAAGCGAAGCUCCUGAUCGAAGCCCCGGUAAACGGCGGCCGUAACUAUAACGGUCCUAAGGUAGCGAAAUUCCUUGUCGGGUAAGUUCCGACCUGCACGAAUGGCGUAAUGAUGGCCAGGCUGUCUCCACCCGAGACUCAGUGAAAUUGAACUCGCUGUGAAGAUGCAGUGUACCCGCGGCAAGACGGAAAGACCCCGUGAACCUUUACUAUAGCUUGACACUGAACAUUGAGCCUUGAUGUGUAGGAUAGGUGGGAGGCUUUGAAGUGUGGACGCCAGUCUGCAUGGAGCCGACCUUGAAAUACCACCCUUUAAUGUUUGAUGUUCUAACGUGGACCCGUUACCCGGGUUGCGGACAGUGUCUGGUGGGUAGUUUGACUGGGGCGGUCUCCUCCUAAAGAGUAACGGAGGAGCACGAAGGUUGGCUAAUCCUGGUCGGACAUCAGGAGGUUAGUGCAAUGGCAUAAGCCAGCUUGACUGCGAGCGUGACGGCGCGAGCAGGUGCGAAAGCAGGUCAUAGUGAUCCGGUGGUUCUGAAUGGAAGGGCCAUCGCUCAACGGAUAAAAGGUACUCCGGGGAUAACAGGCUGAUACCGCCCAAGAGUUCAUAUCGACGGCGGUGUUUGGCACCUCGAUGUCGGCUCAUCACAUCCUGGGGCUGAAGUAGGUCCCAAGGGUAUGGCUGUUCGCCAUUUAAAGUGGUACGCGAGCUGGGUUUAGAACGUCGUGAGACAGUUCGGUCCCUAUCUGCCGUGGGCGCUGGAGAACUGAGGGGGGCUGCUCCUAGUACGAGAGGACCGGAGUGGACGCAUCACUGGUGUUCGGGUUGUCAUGCCAAUGGCACUGCCCGGUAGCUAAAUGCGGAAGAGAUAAGUGCUGAAAGCAUCUAAGCACGAAACUUGCCCCGAGAUGAGUUCUCCCUGAGACUUUAGGUCUCCUGAAGGAACGUUGAAGACGACGACGUUGAUAGGCCGGGUGUGUAAGCGCAGCGAUGCGUUGAGCUAACCGGUACUAAUGAACCGUGAGGCUUAACCUU